UACGGGGGGGAGCAAGCGUUGUUCGGAUUUACUGGGCGUAAAGCGCACGUAGGCGGAUUUGUAAGUCAGGGGGUGAAAUCCCGGGGCUCAACCUCGGAACUGCCUUUGAUACUGCAAAUCUCGAGUCCGGAAGAGGUGAGUGGAAUUCCUAGUGUAGAGGUGAAAUUCGUAGAUAUUAGGAAGAACACCAGUGGCGAAGGCGGCUCACUGGUCCGGUACUGACGCUGAGGGUGCGAAAAGCGUGGGGGAGCAAACAGG
rnacentral:rRNA from 1 species